rnacentral:rRNA from 1 species
UUGGAGGGCAAGUCUGGUGCCAGCAGCCGCGGUAAUUCCAGCUCCAAUAGCGUAUAUUAAAGUUGUUGCAGUUAAAAAGCUCGUAGUUGAAUUUCGGGGUCAGUAGGUUGGUCGUGCCACCGGUACGUACUGGUCUCACUGAUUCCUCCUUCCUGAUGAGCUGUAAUGCCAUUAAUUUGGUGUUGCAGGGAAUCUGGACUGUUACUUUGAAAAAAUUAGAGUGUUUAAAGCAGGCUAACGCUUGAAUACAUUAGCAUGGAAUAAUGAAAUAGGACGUUCGAUCCUAUUUUGUUGGUUUCUAGGAUUGGCGUAAUGAUUAAUAGGGAUAGUUGGGGGCAUUAGUAUUCAAUUGUCAGAGGUGAAAUUCUUGGAUUUAUUGAAGACUAACUACUGCGAAAGCAUUUGCCAAGGAUGUUUUCAUUAAUCAAGAACGAAAGUUAGGGGAUCGAAGACGAUCAGAUACCGUCGUAGUCUUAACCAUAAACUAUGCCGACUAGGGAUCGGAUGAUGUUAAUUUUUUAAUGACUCAUUCGGCGCCUUACGGGAAAC